rnacentral:lncRNA from 1 species
CACAAGUCAAUGCCAACGUACUAGACGUUGUCUUACACGAAAACACAUAUUGGAGAUCUUAUGUCAUGACAUAUGUAUCCUAUCUAUUCCUAGGGUUCGUACGGGAUUUUCGGACGUUAAAUCUCUAUUUGAUCGAACUCGAAACAUAGUUCCCUAUCUCAUAAUCACAUUCGGUCAAAACACACACAUGUAUAUAUUCG